CAGUCGCCGCGGUAACACAGAGGGUGCGAGCGUUAAUCGGAUUUACUGGGCGUAAAGCGUGCGUAGGCGGCUUCUUAAGUCGGAUGUGAAAUCCCUGAGCUUAACUUAGGAAUUGCAUUCGAUACUGGGAAGCUAGAGUAUGGGAGAGGAUGGUAGAAUUCCAGGUGUAGCGGUGAAAUGCGUAGAGAUCUGGAGGAAUACCGAUGGCGAAGGCAGCCAUCUGGCCUAAUACUGACGCUGAGGUACGAAAGCAUGGGGAGCAAACAGGAUUAGAUACCCGAGUAGUCCCUGUCUCUUAUAC
rnacentral:rRNA from 1 species